CUUACACAUGCAAGUCGAACGGAAAGGCCCUGCUUUUGUGGGGUGCUCGAGUGGCGAACGGGUGAGUAACACGUGAGUAACCUGCCCUUGACUUUGGGAUAACUUCAGGAAACUGGGGCUAAUACCGGAUAGGAGCUCCUGCUGCAUGGUGGGGGUUGGAAAGUUUCGGCGGUUGGGGAUGGACUCGCGGCUUAUCAGCUUGUUGGUGGGGUAGUGGCUUACCAAGGCUUUGACGGGUAGCCGGCCUGAGAGGGUGACCGGCCACAUUGGGACUGAGAUACGGCCCAGACUCCUACGGGAGGCAGCAGUGGGGAAUAUUGCACAAUGGGCGGAAGCCUGAUGCAGCAACGCCGCGUGCGGGAUGACGGCCUUCGGGUUGUAAACCGCUUUCGCCUGUGACGAAGCGUGAGUGACGGUAAUGGGUAAAGAAGCACCGGCUAACUACGUGCCAGCAGCCGCGGUGAUACGUAGGGUGCGAGCGUUGUCCGGAUUUAUUGGGCGUAAAGGGCUCGUAGGUGGUUGAUCGCGUCGGAAGUGUAAUCUUGGGGCUUAACCCUGAGCGUGCUUUCGAUACGGGUUGACUUGAGGAAGGUAGGGGAGGAUGGAAUUUCCUGGGGGAGCGGUGGAAUGCGCAGAUAUCAGGAGGAACACCAGUGGCGAAGGCGGUUCUCUGGGCCUUUCCUGACGCUGAGGAGCGAAAGCGUGGGGAGCGAACAGGCUUAGAUACCCUGGUAGUCCACGCUGUAAACGGUGGGUACUAGGUGUGGGGUCCAUUCCACGGGUUCCGUGCCGUAGCUAACGCUUUAAGUACCCCGCCUGGGGAGUACGGCCGCAAGGCUAAAACUCAAAGGAAUUGACGGGGCCCCGCACAAGCGGCGGAGCAUGCGGAUUAAUUCGAUGCAACGCGUAGAACCUUACCUGGGUUUGACAUGGAUCGGGAGUGCUCAGAGAUGGGUGUGCCUCUUUUGGGGUCGGUUCACAGGUGGUGCAUGGCUGUCGUCAGCUCGUGUCGUGAGAUGUUGGGUUAAGUCCCGCAACGAGCGCAACCCUUGUUCACUGUUGCCAGCACGUUGUGGUGGGGACUCAGUGGAGACCGCCGGGGUCAACUCGGAGGAAGGUGGGGAUGACGUCAAGUCAUCAUGCCCCUUAUGUCCAGGGCUUCACGCAUGCUACAACGGCUGGUACAGAGAGUGGCGAGCCUGUGAGGGUGAGCGAAUCUCGGAAAGCCGGUCUCAGUUCGGAUUGGGGUCUGCAACUCGACCUCAUGAAGUCGGAGUCGCUAGUAAUCGCAGAUCAGCAACGCUGCGGUGAAUACGUUCCCGGGGCUUGUACACACCGCCCGUCAAGUCAUGAAAGUUGGUAACACCCGAAGCCGGUGGCCUAACCGUUGUGGGGGAGCCGUCGAAGGUGGGACUGGUGAUUAGGACUAAGUCAUAAC
rnacentral:rRNA from 1 species